rnacentral:rRNA from 1 species
AGCGAACGCUGGCGGCAGGCCUAACACAUGCAAGUCGAACGAAGUCUUCGGACUUAGUGGCGGACGGGUGAGUAACACGUGGGAACGUGCCUUUAGGUUCGGAAUAACUCAGGGAAACCUGUGCUAAUACCGAAUGUGCCCUUCGGGGGAAAGAUUUAUCGCCUUUAGAGCGGCCCGCGUCUGAUUAGCUAGUUGGUGAGGUAAUGGCUCACCAAGGCUACGAUCAGUAGCUGGUCUGAGAGGAUGACCAGCCACAUUGGGACUGGGACACGGCCCAAACUCCUACGGGAGGCAGCAGUGGGGAAUCUUGCGCAAUGGGCGAAAGCCUGACGCAGCCAUGCCGCGUGGAUGAUGAAGGUCUUAGGAUUGUAAAAUCCUUUCACCGGUGAAGAUAAUGACUGUAGCCGGAGAAGAAGCCCCGGCUAACUUCGUGCCAGCCGCCGCCGUAACAC